rnacentral:rRNA from 1 species
AGUGAACGCUGGCGGUAGGCCUAACACAUGCAAGUCGAACGGCAGCACAGUAAGAGCUUGCUCUUACGGGUGGCGAGUGGCGGACGGGUGAGGAAUACAUCGGAAUCUACUUUUUCGUGGGGGAUAACGUAGGGAAACUUACGCUAAUACCGCAUACGACCUACGGGUGAAAGCAGGGGAUCUUCGGACCUUGCGCGAUUGAAUGAGCCGAUGUCGGAUUAGCUAGUUGGCGGGGUAAAGGCCCACCAAGGCGACGAUCCGUAGCUGGUCUGAGAGGAUGAUCGGACACACUGGAACUGAGACACGGUCAAGACUCCUACGGGAGGCAGCAGUGGGGAAUAUUGGACAAAGGGCGCAAGCCUGAUCCAGCCAUACCGCGUGGGUGAAGAAGGCCUUCGGGUUGUAAAGCCCUUUUGUUGGGAAAGAAAAGCAGCAGGUUAAUACCCCGCUGUUCUGACGGUACCCAAAGAAUAAGCACCGGCUAACUUCGUG